rnacentral:rRNA from 1 species
AAUGAACGCUGGCGGCGUGCCUAAUACAUGCAAGUCGAGCGAACAGACGAGGAGCUUGCUCCUCUGCCGUUAGCGGCGGACGGGUGAGUAACACGUGGAUAACCUACCUCUAAGACUGGGAUAACUUCGGGAAACCGGAGCUAAUACCGGCUCAUAUAUUGAACCGCAUGGUUCAAUAGUGAAAGACAGUUUUGCUGUCACUUAUAGAUGGAUCCGCGCCGCAUUAGCUAGUUGGUAAGGUAACGGCCUACCAAGGCAACGAUGCGUAGCCGACCUGAGAGGGUGAUCCGCCACACUGGAACUGAGACACGGUCCAGACUCCUACGGGAGGCAGCAGUAGGGAAUCUUCCGCAAAGGGCGAAAGCCUGACGGAGCAACGCCGCGUGAGUGAUGAAGGUCUUCGGAUCGUAAAACUCUGUUAUUAGGGAAGAACAAAUGUGUAAGUAACUAUGCACGUCUUGACGGUACCUAAUCAGAAAGCCACGGCUAACUACGUG